GAGUUUGAUCGUGGCUCAGAUUGAACGCUGGCGGCAUGCCUUACACAUGCAAGUCGAACGGCAGCACGGGAGCUUGCUCCUGGUGGCGAGUGGCGAACGGGUGAGUAAUGCAUCGGAACGUAUCCUGGAGUGGGGGAUAACGUAGCGAAAGUUACGCUAAUACCGCAUAUUCUGUGAGCAGGAAAGCGGGGGACCUUCGGGCCUCGCGCUCUUGGAGCGGCCGAUGUCGGAUUAGCUAGUUGGUGAGGUAAAGGCUCACCAAGGCGACGAUCCGUAGCAGGUCUGAGAGGACGAUCUGCCACACUGGAACUGAGACACGGUCCAGACUCCUACGGGAGGCAGCAGUGGGGAAUUUUGGACAAUGGGGGCAACCCUGAGUCCAGCCAUGCCGCGUGAGUGAAGAAGGCCUCGG
rnacentral:rRNA from 1 species